CUCUCUCUCUCUCUCUCUCUCUCUCUCUCAUCAUUUUAACCAUUGUACCAGCUCCUUUUAAAUGUAUCUGCGGAGGAUCUGGUCAAGUGGAGAUAAUCCAUGCAAAUCAGAAACUGGUUGUCAGUGUGUGGUUCCCGGAGAGGACUCAGCCUGAGGAGGUCACUCGUUCACAGCCGCUCCUCCCAUUCUAUCUCUCCCCUUAUUGCAGAACUGCUGUAUGUAUACAGUAGCAGAAAGGACUCAAUUGACUUCAACUGCUGCCUGGUUUUGCUUACAACUUUUUCUUAUAAAGGAACUUACCUCCAUCUGUCUCUUGAAGGUAGGAAGCCUGAUUCUUCUAAAGACGCGUGUAAUGCCUCUUCUGUCUGCUCAUUGUCAAAUGUCACUGGAAUGCGUUACAUUGUUGCUGGCACAGGGCGCAAAUGCUGUGAUUCCAGGUGUCUCUGGCUUUUGUUACUUAACGGUGUAGGUGCAAUUGUUUAAGUGCGGGGGUAUUUGGAUGUUUAUUUUCCACAUAGCCAGCUUCAGUUUUACCAAGCAAGGAAGAUUAGAGUGUCUACUCUCUAACCUAGAAAUACAAUUGGCUAUCAAGUUUUCCCUCUUAAAAAAAUAAUAACCUCUUUAGAUGGUUUAACUUCUGCCAAUUACAGCCAAGUGUAAAAUUCAACCGUGAGAAGGUGGCUGUGUAUUGUUUGCCUGAACCUGGAACCUUCUUGCAGCAUUUUCUCUGGAAAAGAAAAAAAAAAUUUAACUGUUGAAAUGUUUUUGACAUCAGCGAGAAAACGGUAGCUCUUACUUCAUUCUGCGGCAUGGCAGCAUGCUAGAGGCUCUAUUGCUAACUGGCCUGUCAAAUAGAUUUAUUCUGCACAAUUCACAAAUUACUAGGCUAUGCAGAAGUGUUGCAAUUAGUUGGAUUCCGUUACUGUUGUUAGACGUGCUGGUAGGUAUUGUUUUUAAAUUUAAAUCGUAUUUUAGAAAACUUUACUGUAAAGGGGCUCUUUAAACCCUGCCAUGUAUAUAGCACAGUGGAGAUCGUUAUUUAAGAAUGAUUUCAAUAGUCAAAUGGUUAUAUUCGGUUUAAAAAUGUGUGGAAGUGGUUAAUAGAUUGUACAAUAUACGUCUUAUUUCUGAAAGCAAUCCCUUAGCUUGUAAUACUUCAACUGUGUUUCCUUGAAGUGACUUGUAAUAAUAUUUUAAUCAUUCCAUAGUCAUUUUAACUUUAAAUCACAUCAAAAUGUCAUGAAAUUACAAAUUCAAAAAAAUCUUUUGAAUUAGUACAAAUAUAAUUAGAACAUUCCAGUUGCAACGGAGAUAAAUGUCAUCUGUCUUUGAACAUACUCUUUGUUAAUAUGAUUUUGCAUUUUGACAUAUGGCUCUGACAAGGAUAUUUAAUCCCUUGUAGGAGAUAGAAUUGAACAUAAACAGUAAACAAAGUUGACAGUCCUGAAAA
rnacentral:lncRNA from 1 species